rnacentral:rRNA from 1 species
GACGAACGCUGGCGGCGUGCCUAAUACAUGCAAGUCGAGCGAGCAAUUUUAGCAGAAUACCUUCGGGUAGGAAGCUAAGAGCGCGAGCGGCGGAUGGGUGAGUAACACGUGGGCAACCUACCCUUUAGCUGGGGAUACCACUUGGAAACAGGUGCUAAUACCGAAUAAGAAGCAAGAGCGCAUGCUCAAGCUAUGAAAGGCGGCUUUAAGCUGUCACUAAAGGAUGGGCCCGCGGUGCAUUAGCUAGUUGGUAAGGUAACGGCUUACCAAGGCGAUGAUGCAUAGCCGAGUUGAGAGACUGAACGGCCACAUUGGGACUGAGACACGGCCCAAACUCCUACGGGAGGCAGCAGUAGGGAAUCUUCCACAAUGGACGCAAGUCUGAUGGAGCAACGCCGCGUGAGUGAAGAAGGUUUUCGGAUCGUAAAGCUCUGUUGUUGGUGAAGAAGGAUAAGGAUAGUAACUGAUUCGUAUUUGACGGUAAUCAACCAGAAAGUCACGGCUAACUACGUGCCAGCCGCCGCAGUAA